AUUGAACGCUGGCGGCAGGCCUAACACAUGCAAGUCGAGCGGAUGAAGGGAGCUUGCUCCUGGAUUCAGCGGCGGACGGGUGAGUAAUGCCUAGGAAUCUGCCUGGUAGUGGGGGAUAACGUCCGGAAACGGGCGCUAAUACCGCAUACGUCCUGAGGGAGAAAGUGGGGGAUCUUCGGACCUCACGCUAUCAGAUGAGCCUAGGUCGGAUUAGCUAGUUGGUGGGGUAAAGGCCUACCAAGGCGACGAUCCGUAACUGGUCUGAGAGGAUGAUCAGUCACACGGGAACUGAGACACGGUCCAGACUCCUGCGGGAGGCAGCAGUGGGGAAUAUUGGACAAUGGGGGAAAGCCUGAUCCAGCCAGGCCGCGUGUGUGAAGAAGGUCUUCGGAUUGUAAAGCACUUUAAGUUGGGAGGAAGGGCAGUAAGUUGAUACCUUGCUGUUUUGACGUUACCAACAGAAUAAGCACCGGCUAACUUCGUG
rnacentral:rRNA from 1 species